rnacentral:rRNA from 1 species
CUACGCACUCCUACGGGAGGCAGCAGUGGGGAAUAUUGCACAAUGGGGGAAACCCUGAUGCAGCCAUGCCGCGUGUGUGAAGAAGGCCUUCGGGUUGUAAAGCACUUUCAGUAGGGAGGAAGGUAGUGUAGUUAACACCUGCAUUAUUUGACGUUACCUACAGAAGAAGCACCGGCUAACUCCGUGCCAGCAGCCGCGGUAAUACGGAGGGUGCGAGCGUUAAUCGGAAUUACUGGGCGUAAAGCGCAUGCAGGCGGCCUGUUAAGUCAGAUGUGAAAGCCCCGGGGCUUAACCUCGGAAUUGCAUUUGAAACUGGCAGGCUAGAGUCUUGUAGAGGGGGUAGAAUUUCAGGUGUAGCGGUGAAAUGCGUAGAGAUCUGAAGGAAUACCAGUGGCGAAGGCGGCCCCCUGGACAAAGACUGACGCUCAGAUGCGAAAGCGUGGGGAGCAAACAGGAUUAGAUACCCUGGUAG